UGAACGCUGGCGGCGUGCCUACUACAUGCAAGUCGAGCGACCAGACGAGGAGCUUGCUCCUCUGACGUUAGCGGCGGACGGGUGAGUAACACGUGGAUAACCUACCUAUAAGACUGGGAUAACUUCGGGAAACCGGAGCUAAUACCGGAUAAUAUAUUGAACCGCAUGGUUCAAUAGUGAAAGACGGUUUUGCUGUCACUUAUAGAUGGAUCCGCGCCGCAUUAGCUAGUUGGUAAGGUAACGGCUUACCAAGGCAACGAUGCGUAGCCGACCUGAGAGGGUGAUCGGCCACACUGGAACUGAGACACGGUCCAGACUCCUACGGGAGGCAGCAGUAGGGAAUCUUCCGCAAUGGGCGAAAGCCUGACGGAGCAACGCCGCGUGAGUGAUGAAGGUCUUCGGAUCGUAAAACUCUGUUAUUAGGGAAGAACAAAUGUGUAAGUAACUAUGCACGUCUUGACGGUACCUAAUCAGAAAGCCACGGCUAACUACGUG
rnacentral:rRNA from 1 species